rnacentral:rRNA from 1 species
AUACGGAGGGUGCGAGCGUUGUUCGGAAUUAUUGGGCGUAAAGCGCGUGUAGGCGGUUUGGUAAGUCUGAUGUGAAAGCCCUGGGCUCAACCUGGGAAGUGCAUUGGAAACUGUCAGACUUGAAUACGGGAGAGGGUAGUGGAAUUCCUAGUGUAGGAGUGAAAUCCGUAGAUAUUAGGAGGAACACCGGUGGCGAAGGCGGCUACCUGGACCGAUAUUGACGCUGAGACGCGAAAGCGUGGGGAGCAAACAGGAUUAGAUACCCUGGUAGUCCACGCCGUAAACGAUGAGUACUAGGUGUUGCGGGUAUUGACCCCUGCAGUGCCGCAGCUAACGCAUUAAGUACUCCGCCUGGGAAGUACGGUCGCAAGACUAAA